CCUACGGGGGGCAGCAGUGAGGAAUAUUGGUCAAUGGGCGGGAGCCUGAACCAGCCAAGUCGCGUGAGGGACGACGGUCCUAUGGAUUGUAAACCUCUUUUGUCGGGGAACAAAGGCGCCCACGGGUGGGCGGAUGAGUGUACCCGAAGAAAAAGCAUCGGCUAACUCCGUGCCAGCAGCCGCGGUAAUACGGAGGAUCCGAGCGUUAUCCGGAUUUAUUGGGUUUAAAGGGUGCGUAGGCGGUUUGAUAAGUUAGAGGUGAAAUGUCGGGGCUCAACCCCGAAACUGCCUCUAAUACUGUUGGA
rnacentral:rRNA from 1 species